rnacentral:rRNA from 1 species
UACGUAGGGUGCGAGCGUUAAUCGGAAUUACUGGGCGUAAAGCGUGCGCAGGCGGUUUUGUAAGCCGGAUGUGAAAUCCCCGGGCUUAACCUGGGAAUGGCAUUCGGGACUGCAAGGCUGGAGUGCGGCAGAGGAGACUGGAAUUCCUGGUGUAGCAGUGAAAUGCGUAGAUAUCAGGAGGAACACCGAUGGCGAAGGCAGGUCUCUGGGCUGACACUGACGCUCAUGCACGAAAGCGUGGGGAGCGAAA